rnacentral:sRNA from 1 species
UGACCGACACUUAAUGUAGUCUUAAACGGCCAAACGGACAGCCAGGUCAAAAGCCGA